AUUGAACGCUGGCGGCAUGGCUAAAACAUGCAAGUCGAGCGCGAAAGAGGAGCAAUCCUCAAGUAGAGCGGCGAAAGGGUGAGUAAUACGUUCCUUCGUACCUCGAGGUCAGGGAUAGCCAGGGGAAACUCUGGGUAAUACCUGAUGUGGUCGAGAGAUCAAAGGCUUGCCGCCUCGAGAGCGGGGAACGUCCUAUCAGCUAGUUGGUGAGGUAACGGCUCACCAAGGCUUUGACGGGUAGCGGGUGUGAGAGCAUGGCCCGCCACAUCGGAACUGAGACACUGUCCGGACUCCUACGGGAGGCUGCAGUAACGAAUCUUCCGCAAUGCGCGCAAGCGUGACGGAGCAAUGCCGCGUGCAGGAUGAAGCCCUUCGGGGUGUAAACUGCUGUCAGGGUUUAGAAACACAAUGAUCAAACCCAAAGGAAGAGACGACCAACUCUGUGCCAGCAGUCGCGGUAAUACAGAGGUCUCGAGCGUU
rnacentral:rRNA from 1 species